CACGUAGGGGGCAAGCGUUGUCCGGAUUUAUUGGGCGUAAAGAGCUCGUAGGCGGCUCAGUAAGUCAGGUGUGAAACCUCCAGGCUCAACCUGGAGACGCCACCUGAUACUGCUGUGGCUAGAGUCCUGUAGGGGAGCGUGGAAUUCCUGGUGUAGCGGUGAAAUGCGCAGAUAUCAGGAGGAACACCAGCGGCGAAGGCGGCGCUCUGGGCCGGAACUGACGCUGAGGAGCGAAAGCGUGGGUAGCAAACAGG
rnacentral:rRNA from 1 species